AAUGCAGCUCUAAAUGGGUGGUAAAUUUCAUCUAAAGCUAAAUACUGGCCGGAGACCGAUAGCGAACAAGUAGAGUGAUCGAAAGAUGAAAAGCACUUUGAAAAGAGAGUUAAACAGCACCUGAAACUGUUGAAAGGGAAGCGUUUGCGACCAGACUCGCCCGCGGGGUUCAGCCGGCAUUCGUGCCGGUGUACUUCCCCGUGGGCGGGCCAGCGUCGGUUUGGGCGGCCGGUCAAAGGCCCGCGAAAUGUAUCACCUCUCGGGGUGUCUUAUAGCCGAGGGUGCAAUGCGGCCUGCCUGGACCGAGGAACGCGCUCGGCUCGGA
rnacentral:rRNA from 1 species